ACCUGGGUGGCUCAGUCGGUUGAGCAUCUGACUUCAACUCAGGUCAUGAUCUUGUAGUUUGUGGAUUCAAACCCCACACUGGGCU
rnacentral:tRNA from 1 species